GGAAGCAACACACGGCAGUGUACAACUCUGAUCGCAAGUCGACAGGGUUGAACAGAACACAUGUUUUGCCAGUGCCCUCAUCUGUUGUCCUUCACCUCGCUGCUCUGAGGUCAGAGUCUUACACUCCCACCUCUUCAUCAUCUGACCAAAAAGUGAGCCAGACUCCUUUUUCCUGACGCUUUAUGGCGAACUUCCUGUGUCGGAUGGGACAAUAACAGGAAGAAGGAAACAGGUGUUCAUGCUGGAGGUGAAAGGUCGCAGGAAAUGGAUUCCCUCUCCCCGCAGGAAGAGGAUGGAGGGAGCGGUCAGGAAAACAAAAAGACGAGAAUGCAUCUGUGUUAAAUGCUUGCGUACUGUAUGUGUGUGUGUAUGUGUAUGUGUAUGUUUGUGUGUGUGUGUGUGUGUGUGUGAGUGUGUGUGUGUUCACCUUUCAGCGCUGUUCUCGGUGCAGUGGAACCACGUCACAGUGCUGCUGCAGAUUUCAGUCUGCAUAAAGGCAAGUGCGGGCCGGCCCGGGCCAAUAAUAGCCCCAGAAUAAUACCACAACAAAACCACGGGCCAUUAACAGCUGAUCUCACAGGGGACGCAUCUUCUGCUCACUUCCAAACACCGUAAUGCAACAGCAACAGUCAUGUUGUACUGUCAAUACGAAUGCAACAUUGAUCCAUGCCCCAGUGGGUUUACCAGAAAUACCAACAGCACAUGCUCCAACAGCCGGGCUCUUGACAAGAAGAAGAUAUUUUAUCCACAACCUGAAACAGACGGCUGCACCACACUGGACGCCAAUCCAUCUUUCAUAUGCACACGUGUCUGAUGGCGUGUAUGCCCAUGUUAUUGUGUGUGUGUGUGUGUGUGUGUGUGUGUCCAUUCCUCAGAUCAGAGGGAGCUUGUGUUGUUUUGGUUACAAAACGACAGCCAUGACUUUAAAUACUCUGAGGGUCUCCCAAGACUUCUUAACUUAGCAAUAGUCCACUGUCUGUGUGUGUGUGUGUGUGUGUGUGUGUGUAUCGCCAAAAGCCGCACAAACCCAUUUAGUCUCCUCUCUGACACAUGGUAUAAAUAACCUAAAGAACAACCAGGGAUUCGCCCUCGAGUUUUUAAGGGUCUAAAUAUCAGCAGCUAUUAGCUGCUUGUCGCCCUGCGGCUGCUCGCCUCGUCUAAAACAGUAUGACACAUCAUCUGUCAGUCAACCCCGGGGCUCAGAUGCCCAUUCUGCACAAGAUAUAAGAACUGAAUUGGAAAAAAAAUAUAAUAAAUUCAACGUUUUGGCAAUAACACACAUCAGCUCAUAGCUUGGCACAGUGACUUGAAACAGUUGAGAAACAACACGCCAUGACUCCAAAGGUAAUGUGCCGCAGUCUCCUCUGGUUGCCUAGCAACUGCUACAUGAGUUUGGUGUGGAAAAACUUCUCUGACCUCGAAACCCAUCUAACACCUUGGGGAUGAACUGCAACGCUGUAUACGAGCCAGGCUUCAUCACCCACCGCCAUGGACCGACCUCACUGCAACUCUUGUGGCUGAACAGAAUUUUAUAUUUAAUGUACAAACAAUAUUGUUAUCUACUUCAGCCCGAGUGUGCGUGAGUAAGUGUGUUUGUGUGUGUGUGUGUGUGUGUGUGUGUGUGUGCGUGCGUGUGCGUGUGCGUGCGUGUGCAUAAGUCAAAACUAUAAAGGCAUAUAGCUCCUUUCCAAUCGCUGCAGGAGAAAAAUAAACAACUGUAAUGCAACAGCAGCACU